UGUGAGGGUAAUCUGGCCAUGCAUCUGUCACUCCAUGAGGGUUAAUUCAGAUGAUCUGCCUGGCUGGAAGAGUGCCCCCUUCCUCCCUAAGUAUACAGUGGGCACCCCUGCCGAAAAGGCAUACUCACUUUCCUGAUAGAGAAGGCCUGUUUCUCAGUCAAGCGUAUAUGAGUGGCUGUGCCUCCCUACUAGAACCUCUAAACAAGCUGUGGAGGGCUGAAAGUACUCUUCCAGUGAGUUUUCAACUCCAUGACUUACCAUGAAAAGGAAGCAUAU
rnacentral:snRNA from 1 species